rnacentral:rRNA from 1 species
GACAAGAUCAUCUACCUAUCUAUAUAACAGAUCGUAUGGUAGGUCACAAACUAGGAGAAUUUGUCCCCACUCGUAGUUUUAGGGGACAUGCUAAGAAUGAUAAGAGAUCUCGUCGCUAGUUAGAAAACAGACUUUGAAAUAAAAAACAAUAGAGAAAGAAAAUGGAAAUGCAAGCUUCAUCAAGAAAUAUCAGAAUAUCGGCUACUAAAGUGCGACGAAUCAUCAGCCAUAUUCAAGGUUGUUCAUAUGAACAAGCACUUGUAUUACUCGAAUUUUUACCGCACAGAGCCUGUUAUCCUGUAUUACAAUUAAUAGUUUCUGCAGCUGCUAAUGCUACUAAUAAUCUUGGUUUAAGCAAAUCUAAUCUUUUUAUUAGUGAAGCUCGAGUAGAUAGGAGCACUUAUUUUAAGAGAUUUCGACCUAGAGCUCAAGGACGAGGUUACCCGAUAAGAAAACCUACUUGUCAUAUAACUAUCAGAUUGAAAGAGACUAAAUCACAGUAAAAAGCUAAGAGAUAAAAGAAGCUUGAAAAGGACUUAGUUUUGAGAUAUUGAAAUCUAGGAAUAUAUUUAUGGGACGAAAGAUUCAUCCACUUGGUUUUUGACUUGGUGUAAAUCAGAAGCAUUAUUCCUAUUGGUUUGCACACAAAAAAGAUUAUGCAAAGUUCCUAAAAGAGGAUAAAGAAAUACGUACGUUAAUCGAAAAAUAUGUACAGAAACGUAUGAAAGAAGCUUAUUCCAAUUAUGGAGGAAUUGUACAUAUAGAAAUAAAACAAAAAACAGAUCUAAUUAACAUUGAAAUAUGUACAGGAUUCCUGGAUCGAUUUUUUCAAGAUCAUCAUCUAGGAAUUGAUGAAUUGAAAAGCCGUAUAGGAGAAUUAUUAGAUUUCAAAGGAAAAGACCGUAAGGUUCAAAUAAUAUUGACUGAUGUUACUCGACCCUAUGGAGAACCAAAGAUUGUAGCAACAUAUAUUGCUUCACAAUUGGAGAAUAGAGUUGCUUUCCGAAGGACUAUGAAGAAAGCAAUUGACCUGUCUACUAGGCACGGAAAUAAUAAGGGUAUUAAGAUACAAAUAGCAGGACGUCUCAAUGGUAAUGAGAUGGCUCGCGUUGAGUGGGCUAGGGAGGGAAGAGUUCCUUUACAAACCAUUAGAGCUCGUAUUACUUAUUGUUAUCGUCCCGCUCAGACUAUUUACGGAGUCUUAGGUAUAAAGGUUUGGAUAUUUCAAGGCAUAGAAUAAAAUGAACCAUUUAUCCGAUUUACUAACGAAAAAAAUACUAUUUAGGGAACUAUUAGAAUCUAUAACAGCUUAUUCUAUUUCAUAUUAACAAUAAACACAUUAAUCAAAUCCUUCGUAAAUUUUUGCUAUGCUUAGUCCCAAACGAACAAAAUUUCGUAAACAACAUAGAGGAAGGUUGAAAGGAAUUUCACUUCGCGGUAAUCACGUUUCUUUCGGAAGAUUUGCUCUCCAAGCACUCGAACCUGCUUGGAUUACAGCCA